UGAAAUGUGAUAAGUAAUGUGAAUUGCAGAAUCUCGUGAAUCAUCGAAUCUUUGAACGCACAUUGCGCCCAAUGGUAUUCCAUUGGGCAUACCUGUUUGAGUAUCAGAAUCCUUUCAAUUAUCAAACUUUUACAUAUAGAGAUAUAUGUAAAGAUGUUUGGAAUACAAUUGAGAAAAGUAGUAUUCUUUAUAGUAUUGCUUUCUUAAAAACCAGAAAUACUAUGUUUUGAUUUUUCUUCACCUCAUUUUGUAUAUUAUUUAACAAAUGAGUACGAGUAAAAAUAUACAAUACUUUGGAUGACCUCAAAUCAGGUAGGGAUACCCGCUGAACUUAAGCAUAUCAAUAAGCGGAGGAAAAGAAACCAACAGGGAUUGCCUUAGUAACGGCGAGUGAAGCGGCAAAAGCUCAGAUUUGAAAUCUGGUGUCAAAUUGAUACCCGAGUUGUAAUCUGUAGAGGAGUUUUUCGGAGUAUGGCUUUGGUUAAAGUUCCUUGGAAAAGGGCAUCAUAGAGGGUGAGAAUCCUGUUUAUGACCUGUGUCUGUCUCCAUUAUGAAUCUCCUUCAAUGAGUC
rnacentral:rRNA from 1 species